rnacentral:tRNA from 1 species
GCCUGGGUGGUUCAGUAGGUUAAGCGUCUGACUUCAGCUCAGGUCACAAUCUCACGGCUCAUGAGUUUGAGUCCCAUGUCAGGCU